GAUGAAGAACGUAGCGAAAUGCGAUAAGUAAUGUGAAUUGCAGAAUUCAGUGAAUCAUCGAAUCUUUGAACGCACAUUGCGCCCGCCAGUAUUCUGGCGGGCAUGCCUGUCUGAGCGUCAUUUCAACCCUCAUGCCCCUAGGGCGUGGUGUUGGGGAUCGGCCAAAGCCCGCGAGGGACGGCCGGCCCCUAAAUCUAGUGGCGGACCCGUCGUGGCCUCCUCUGCGAAGUAGUGAUAUUCCGCAUCGGAGAGCGCCGAGCCCCUGCCGUUAAACCCCCAACUUUCCAAGGUUGACCUCAGAUCAGGUAGGAAUACCCGCUGAACUUAAGCAUAUCAAUAAGCGGAGGA
rnacentral:misc_RNA from 1 species